AGAGGCAUUCAAGUGAAGGAUGGCUUGUCAGAAACAUUGAAGCAAAGCCUUGGAUGUCAGAGGGGUGGACAAGAAGACCUUAAGGGUCUCCCAAUCCUGUGGUAGAGUGGUUCUGUUUUUCUGGGAUUUUCUCUCAAACCUGCUCCCAGGGGUUGGAAGGACAGAGGACAAGAAAUAUGUCACCACUUCCUCUCUGUGCUGUCAGAUUGUUGUCUGUGUGCCUAUUUUAGCAGGCACAGCUGUGAUUAAUGUUCCUCUUUUUAGAGACUAUACACACACGCACACAUACGUGCGCGCGCACACACGCACACAAAGAGUUGAUUUUGCCCUUGAAGUGGAGUGGAUGACAGCUCUGUUCCUCCGAGCCUCGCAGACCACUCUGCUGCUAAUGGACUGUCAGCCUCUUUCAUUCCGGGCUCGACUGUGUGCCGGCUGGCGUAAAAGCGGCGCCUCUGGCAAGAACCUGGCACUUGGGUCGCGGCCAGUUGACAUUUGUGAUUUGCCCUUCUUCAAAUCAGUACAGCCCUCCCACCCACUUUGUACACGGGGCUCAGCCAGUUGGUCUACUCUUGGCAGUGCUGGUGUCGAGGGAGCAGACAAGGCUGAAGGUGGGGGUGCCAGAGAAGGGUGCUUGGGAGGCAUCAAAGAGGGACCAGCCGUCAUAAUUUCCCUGGCCUCGCCACUGCUCGUCGGUGCUGGAACCACUCCCAAGGGUGAGUGAUGGGGCCGGCUGCAGGCCCACAGAGGUGGCCUGGGGCCCCGGCAGGGGGUUCCCAUCAUGGAGGGACCGCCACCUCCUGGCUGCGGGUGCCCCAGGGAGGGAGGCACACAGAGAGCCUGAGGCAGAAGAGACGAACUGUUGAAGGUUGAGGAGGCACCACGGGCUGGGCACUGGCCUCUAAACUUCAAGGUGAGCGCCUCCCUGCGUCCCCCACCCCUGCCCGGGCCCUCAGCCCUGCACCCUCCAACGCCUCCAGGGGGCCGACUCUACAGGGACGGUAAUUAAGCAGCUUGUCAAACCUGCUCUGGUCAGUCUCAUCCCCCACAGUGACACGGGAAGGUCCGUUCAGGUUACAUUUCUACUCCUUCGCCCACCAGCCUACGUUCAUUUUCUCUGUUCCUUGCAGUCCCCACCCAGCCACUGACUCAGAGUGCCCACGUCAGGAACGUGGGUCACUCUGCUUCCCGAGAGUGUGGCUGGCUGCCAAGCGGAGGGAGGGGUGGGGGAGACCGAAGGAGCCCCUCCUUACCUUCAGAGUGAGCAGCCCCCGGAGCUGAUGGUCAUACAGUGCUGGGGACACAGAAGACGCAGUGGGAGGAGGCUGAGUGAGGCGUGUCACCUAAAGAAUAAACACUGGCCACCACGGUGCCCUGAGGGUAGAGAAGGGGGUGCUAGAUGGAGCUAAUCAUUGAGGCUUCCAGGAAGGCUUCCGGGAAGAGGUGGCCAUGAGGGUGAUUAUUUCCUUGGAAGCUGAGGUGCUGGUGGACCCCGGCUGGAGAAAGUCCCUUGACCGCUGCCCACGCGUUUGGGUGAAGCUUCAUCAGCCUCUCACUGAGGCAGGUGUGCUAAGGGCCAUGACACCACCACCAAGGUCAAAGCCAGAAGGAUGAAAAACCCUGACACCUCCUUGCUGAGAAACAAACAGGAGGGGACGGUGGGGCAUUUAAUCAGCCAGGGCUGCCAAUACCCAAUCAAGAUGAAUGGCCUUGAGAGAUGCAGCCCAGGAACAGCCCUGUGUUAGGAGAUGGGAGACCGCACUAGGGCCCCUGGAAGGCCGGAUUCCAGAGAGAUGCCAACGGGGUUGGAGGUCACCACUGUCACCAACUGUCACCAACCAGGGCUUUCCGGUUGACGCUUCUCUGGCCGAGGACCUUUACUGAGCCUGCUCUGGGCCGGCUGUGUCUCAGGACUGAUGAUAAAUGGGGCGCCCCCCCCCCCCUGCUCUUUAAGGACUCAGGUGAGCGGGUGGAUACAGCACACGGGGAUAAGUUAUUCUCAUGCUGUCGCAGGUGCCAUAAUAGGGGCCCAAAGGGUGUGGGGGGGGAAUGAGGGUGGCAGAGAUUAAUUGCUCCAGACCCGGAACACCAGUUCACUGUUGAGGUGAACCUUUUUCGCUCGGGCUUCUGACCGCUGGUCUUUUCUGGCGCCACCUGUAGGCGGCUGCGGGGCAAGCCAGUCACUCACAAUUAAUUGAGCACCUACAAACUGUGUUACACCCUGAGCUAGGCUCGGGGGGAUAGACCCAGUCCUAUCCUCAGGAAUUGCACAAUCCCAGAGGAAAGGCAGACAAACGGGCGCUCCUUGUAUCACUCGUGGAGUCUGGCGGCACUGAGUUUACUCAAGUCCAGGCUGUAUCGCUUGCCUACCAGGCGUGCUCAGCCACGCUAUGUAACCCCUUUAAGGGGGUCCUUUCCCCCAAAUGUACCGUGGAGAGAGGUAACAUCUCUCCUUGAGCUCCCGUCAAAGUUCAACAAGGGAAGAACAUCCGGGAAGUAUCUGAAGUCUGUUUUACCAGGGUCGCCAUCAAAUUACAAACAUUUGCUCA